rnacentral:rRNA from 1 species
GACGAACGCUGGCGGCGUGCUUAACACAUGCAAGUCGAACGGAAAGGCCCUGCUUUUGUGGGGUGCUCGAGUGGCGAACGGGUGAGUAACACGUGAGUAACCUGCCCUUGACUUUGGGAUAACUUCAGGAAACUGGGGCUAAUACCGGAUAGGAGCUCCUGCUGCAUGGUGGGGGUUGGAAAGUUUCGGCGGUUGGGGAUGGACUCGCGGCUUAUCAGCUUGUUGGUGGGGUAGUGGCUUACCAAGGCUUUGACGGGUAGCCGGCCUGAGAGGGUGACCGGCCACAUUGGGGCUGAGAUACGGCCCAGACUCCUACGGGAGGCAGCGGUGGGGAAUAUUGCACAAUGGGCGGAAGCCUGAUGCAGCAACGCCGCGUGCGGGAUGACGGCCUUCGGGUUGUAAACCGCUUUCGCCUGUGACGAAGCGUGAGUGACGGUAAUGGGUAAAGAAGCACCGGCUAACUACGUG